rnacentral:rRNA from 1 species
GAUGAACGCUGACAGAAUGCUUAACGCAUGCAAGUCGAUGGGGAAGUGGUGCUUGCACCAUGGUAACCAUGGCGGACGGGUGAGUAACGCGUAAGGAACUUACCUGCGGGACCGGGAUAACAGCAGGAAACUGCUGACAAGACCGGAUAAGGUCAUUAAGCUGCAUAGCUUAGUGAUGAAAGGAGACGCCUGCGGAGAGCCUUGCGUCCUAUUAGCUAGUUGGAGGGGUAACGGCCCACCAAGGCGAAGAUAGGUAGCCGGCCUGAGAGGGUGGACGGCCACAAGGGGACUGAGAUACGGCCCUUACUCCUACGGGAGGCAGCAGUGGGGAAUAUUGGACAAUGGGGGCAACCCUGAUCCAGCAAUUCUGUGUGCACGAAGACGGUUUUCGGAUUGUAAAGUGCUUUCAGCAGGGAAGAAGGAAGUGACGGUACCUGCAGAAGAAGCGACGGCUAAAUACGUG